rnacentral:rRNA from 1 species
UACGGAGGGUGCAAGCGUUAUCCGGAAUCACUGGGUUUAAAGGGUGCGUAGGCGGCUUGGUAAGUCAGAGGUGAAAGCUUCCCGCUCAACGGGAGAACUGCCUUUGAUACUGCCAGGCUCGAAUUGGGUUGAGGCAGGCGGAAUGUGGCAUGUAGCGGUGAAAUGCUUAGAUAUGACAUAGAACACCAAUUGCGAAGGCAGCUGGCUACGCGAAUAUUGACACUGAUGCACGAAAGCGUGGGGAUCAAACAGG